UAUCCGGAAUUAUUGGGCGUAAAGCGUCCGUAGGUGGUCAUGUAAGUCGGUCGUCAAAGCCAGAGGCUCAACCUCUGUCCGGCGGUGGAAACUGCAAGACUAGAGAGAGGUAGGGGUAGAGGUGAAUUCCCAGUGUAGCGGUGAAAUGCGUAGAGAUUGGGAAGAACAUCAGUGGCGAAAGCGCUCUAUUGGACAUUUUCUGACACUGAUGGACGAAAGCUAGGGGAGCGAAUGCGGAUAUAGAUACCCCAGUAGUCCUAGCCGUAAACGAUGGAUACUAGACGUUGUCUGCAUCGACCCAGACAGUGUCGUAGCUAACGCGAUAAGUAUCCCGCCUGGGGAGUACGCACGCAAGAUGUGAAACUCAAAGGAAUUGACGGGGGCCCGCACAAGCGGUGGAGUAUGUGGUUUAAUUCGAUGCAACGCGAAGAACCUUACCAGGGCUUGACAUGUCGCGAAUCUUCGGGAAACCGGAGAGUGCCUUCGGGCAUGCGACACACAGGUGGUGCAUGGCUGUCGUCAGUCUCGUGUCGUGAGAUGUUGGGUUAAGUCCCGCAACGAGCGCAACCCUCGUCCUUAGUUGCCAUCAUUAAGUUGGGCACUCUGGGGAGACUGCCGGUGACAAACCGGAGGAAGGYGGGGAUGACGUCWAGUCAGCAUGCCCCUUACGUCMUGGGCGACACACGYAYUACAAUGMKACGGACAAWGGGCAGCGAACCAGCSAYGGUCAGCUAAUCCCACAWACCGUKGMUCAGUUCAGAUCGCAGGCUGCAAYUCGCYUGCKUSAASGSGRRAUCGYWAGURAUMGCCGGWCASCAUACGGCGGUGAAUUCGUUCCCGGGCCUUGUACACACCGCCCGUCACACCAUGGGAGCUGGUUUAGCCCGAAGUCGUUACCCUAUACCCUGCAUAGGGGGGGGGACGCCGAAGCGCUGGGCUGGUGACUGGGUGUG
rnacentral:rRNA from 1 species